CCUACGGGAGGCAGCAGUGGGGAAUAUUGCACAAUGGGGGAAACCCUGAUGCAGCGACGCCGCGUGAGUGAAGAAGUAUUUCGGUAUGUAAAGCUCUAUCAGCAGGGAAGAAAAUGACGGUACCUGAUUCAGAAGCCCCGGCUAACUACGUGCCAGCAGCCGCGGUAAUACGUAGGGGGCAAGCGUUAUCCGGAUUUACUGGGUGUAAAGGGAGCGUAGACGGCAGCACAAGUCUGGAGUGAAAUGCCGGGGCUUAACCCCGGAACUGCUUUGGAAACUGGGCAGCUAGAGUGCAGGAGAGGUAAGUGGAAUUCCUGGUGUAGCAGUGAAAUGCGUAGAUAUUAGGAGGAACACCAGUGGCGAAGGCGGCUUACUGGACUGUAACUGACGUUGAGGCUCGAAGGCGUGGGGAGCAAACGGGAUUAGAUACCCCUGUAGUC
rnacentral:rRNA from 1 species